UCCCACGUGCGGCUCCUCUUCUGCUC
rnacentral:piRNA from 1 species